rnacentral:rRNA from 1 species
CUAGUGGAGACUGCCGGUGACAAACCCGGAGGAAGGUCGGGGAUGACGUCAAGUCCUCAUGGCCCUUACAUCCCGGGCUACACACGUGCUACAAUGGCAGGUACAGAGGGCUGCGAAGCCGCGAGGUGGAGCGAAUCCCAGAAAACCUGUCUCAGUCCGGAUUGAAGUCUGCAACUCGACUUCAUGAAGGCGGAAUCGCUAGUAACCGCGAAUCAGCAGGUCGCGGUGAAUACGUUCCCGGGCCUU